UACUAUCAUCUAUGAAUUUAAAAGUCCAUCAUCAAUAUUUUAUCCUUGUAACAUCAAUCAACAUACAUCUUGCAUCAAAUAUUCAUCUUUGCACUACGGGCCAAAGAUAUUCAUUUGUAUCACCAGUUGGUCAUGUUCAUCUCAACACCUGUUCAUCUUUGCACUACGGGCCAAAGAUAUUCAUCAGGUAAUCAUUCAUCUUU
rnacentral:lncRNA from 1 species